GACGAACGCUGGCGGCGUGCCUAAUACAUGCAAGUAGAACGCACAGUUUAUACCGUAGCUUGCUACACCAUAGACUGUGAGUUGCGAACGGGUGAGUAACGCGUAGGUAACCUGCCUGGUAGCGGGGGAUAACUAUUGGAAACGAUAGCUAAUACCGCAUAAUAUUAAUUAUUGCAUGAUAAUUAAUUGAAAGGUGCAAUUGCACCACUACCAGAUGGACCUGCGUUGUAUUAGCUAGUAGGUGAGGUAACGGCUCACCUAGGCGACGAUACAUAGCCGACCUGAGAGGGUGAUCGGCCACACUGGGACUGAGACACGGCCCAGACUCCUACGGGAGGCAGCAGUAGGGAAUCUUCGGCAAUGGACGAAAGUCUGAACGAGCAACGCCGCGUGAGGGAAGAAGGGUUUCGGAUCGUAAAGCUCUGUUGUAAGAGAAGAACGGGUGUGAGAGUGGAAAGUUCACACUGUGACGGUAUCUUACCAGAAAGGGACGGCUAACUACGUG
rnacentral:rRNA from 1 species